rnacentral:lncRNA from 1 species
AGCUGUUUCCGUUCCUCUGCCCGCCAUGCCGUUCCUGGAGCUGGACACGAAUUUGCCCGCCAACCGAGUGCCCGCGGGGCUGGAGAAACGACUCUGCGCCGCCGCUGCCUCCAUCCUGGGCAAACCUGCGGACCGCGUGAACGUGACGGUACGGCCGGGCCUGGCCAUGGCGCUGAGCGGGUCCACCGAGCCCUGCGCGCAGCUGUCCAUCUCCUCCAUCGGCGUAGUGGGCACCGCCGAGGACAACCGCAGCCACAGCGCCCACUUCUUUGAGUUUCUCACCAAGGAGCUAGCCCUGGGCCAGGACCGGAUCUCACUCUGUUGCCCUGGCUGGAGUGCAGUAGCAUGAUCAUGGCUCACCGCAGUCUCGACUUUCCUGGGCUCAGCCCCAUUGCUCUUCUGGAAGGAGAGCUCGCUGUCCAGUACUGCGCGGGAUGACCGAGUGAACAGGGGACUGGAGACGAGAUGUGGCUGGAGACUGAGAGAAGCAGAGGAGUCACACUCCACUCACCUCCACCUCCCAAAGUGCCGGGAUCACAGGCUUGUGCCACUGCGCCCAAACAUAACUGAAGGUUUUACAGACAUGUCUGUGGCACCACAGAACACGAACGGUCCCAAUGGAAACCCCACGCCCAAUUUCCUCAGGGAACUGCUGUGGCGGAGGCUUGGUGGGUGUCUGAGGGGAGCAGAACCCAAGGCGUGGGGUUCGGGGGUGGACGGGGCGGUAUGACCAAGAACUCUGCACCUCCCCCACCCACCCGCCUGAAAACUCUCCUGAAGUCACCUAACAAAGUGGAUGGCAGUGAGUGGCUCUGGGUGGGAUCUUUCUGUCCUCUGGCUACCCUCUGCCCAACAAGAAGGCUGGGGAAGGUGGGGCUGAGAGAAAGGUCUAGGCCUAGAAGACCUCGGACUCCUCCCAACUCCAACUCCUCCUCCCCCUCUUCCGUGGUCGGCUCACCUCCAGCACCCCACGUGGUGGCCCUAGGUACAACGGAUUCCGGCGGGCAGAGCGCCUUAGAUCCCGAGUCUGCAGCCCAGGGCAGAGUGCCAACUUCUCCUCAUCCCUUCGUACGCCAUAGAAUGGAAAGACACUGGGGCUCCUCUGUUAGGAGCGUAGGAGGGACAGGCUGGACAAAAGGGCUCCCGAACAGCAGGUUCGGAGGAGAGCAACCCGGCCCUGACCCCCGCCCCCAACACCGUUCCCGACCUCGCUCCCCAAUAUCCCGGCUCUGCACCAAUUCCUCCCGCAAGCCAAGGAACCCCGAGGCACUCCUAGUCUCUAAACCGUUUAUUUCUCCCCACCAGAAGGUUGGGGUGGGCGGGCCUAGAACACAGCGUGCGGCGGGUUCCCGGGUGGAGCCAGCGCAGACAGCGUGGGUCCCUGCGGCUCUUAGGCGAAGGUGGAGUUGUUCCAGCCCACAUUGGCCGCGUUCAUGUCGUAAUAGUUGAUGUAGACCCUGCGGGGGGAGGAGGCCGGACUCAGCGGGUGGCUCAGUCCCGGGCCUGGCCGCGCGCCGCCGCCCCUCCCCCGCCCCUCCGCGACUCCGCGUACCUGUCCGGGCUGAUGCGCAGGCGCUCGGCCAGCA